AGGAAAAUAGUUUAAUUGGUAGAACAUUGGUUUCCAAAACCAAAGAUUAAGGGUUCAAGUCCCUUUUUUCCUG
rnacentral:tRNA from 1 species